CCUACGGGAGGCUGCAGUGGGGAAUAUUGCACAAUGGGGGAAACCCUGAUGCAGCGACGCCGCGUGAGUGAAGAAGUAAUUCGUUAUGUAAAGCUCUAUCAGCAGGGAAGAAAAUGACGGUACCUGAGUAAGAAGCCCCGGCUAACUACGUGCCAGCAGCCGCGGUAAUACGUAGGGGGCAAGCGUUAUCCGGAUUUACUGGGUGGAAAGGGAGCGUAGACGGCAGGGCAAGUCUGGAGUGAAAGGCGGGGGCUCAACCCCCGGACUGCUCUGGAAACUGUACGGAUGGAGUGCAGGAGAGGUAAGUGGAAUUCCUAGUGUAGCGGUGAAAUGCGUAGAUAUUAGGAGGAACACCAGUGGCGAAGGCGGCUUACUGGACUGUAACUGACGUUGAGGCUCGAAAGCGUGGGGAGCAAACAGGAUUAGAUACCCCAGUAGUC
rnacentral:rRNA from 1 species